UAGGGAAUCUUCGGCAAUGGACGAAAGUCUGACCGAGCAACGCCGCGUGAGUGAAGAAGGUUUUCGGAUCGUAAAACUCUGUUGUUAGAGAAGAACAAGGACGUUAGUAACUGAACGUCCCCUGGCGGUAUCUAACCAGAAAGCCACGGCUAACUACGUGCCAGCAGCCGCGGUAAUACGUAGGUGGCAAGCGUUGUCCGGAUUUAUUGGGCGUAAAGCGAGCGCAGGCGGUUUCUUAAGUCUGAUGUGAAAGCCCCCGGCUCAACCGGGGAGGGUCAUUGGAAACUGGGAGACUUGAGUGCAGAAGAGGAGAGUGGAAUUCCAUGUGUAGCGGUGAAAUGCGUAGAUAUAUGGAGGAACACCAGUGGCGAAGGCGGCUCUCUGGUCUGUAACUGACGCUGAGGCUCGAAAGCGUGGGGAGCAAACAGG
rnacentral:rRNA from 2 species